UGCGUUGUAAGUGUAAUGGCUGCACAAUGGUCUCCAAAACCAUUAGAGAGGGUUCGACUCCUUCACAACGUGU
rnacentral:tRNA from 3 species